GAUUCAUGACUGGGGUGAAGUCGUAACAAGGUAACCGUAGGGGAACCUGCGGUUGGAUCACCUCCUUACCUUAAAGAA
rnacentral:rRNA from 7 species